UACAGAGGGUGCGAGCGUUAAUCGGAAUUACUGGGCGUAAAGCGUGCGUAGACGGUUAGUUAAGUCGGAUGUGAAAGCCCCGGGCUCAACCUGGGAAUUGCAUUCGAGACUGAAUAGCUAGGGUACGGUAGAGGGAAGUGGAAUUUCCGGUGUAGCGGUGAAAUGCGUAGAUAUCGGAAGGAACAUCAGUGGCGAAAGCGACUUCCUGGACCAGUACCGACGUUCAGGCACGAAAGCGUGGGGAGCAAACAGG
rnacentral:rRNA from 1 species